UACUGCAGUUAAGUCUCUGUUCAUGACCUGAGUUGGAUCCCGAUGGGCUGGCUUAAGGUGGACUCAGCCUUCCAUCCUUCCGAGCUCUGAAAUGAGUGGUGUUGUGGCUCCCUCCUGCUGCAGCUAUGGAUGUGAGGGCACACACAGGGUGUUGUAUGAGUGAAGAAACAAACCUCUACAUAGGCUUUUACAAUGUACUCAAGGAUUCUACAGCUAGGAGAAGCAAGGAAGGUCUAUUACUAAGAGUUUGCAUCCAUGGUCCUAAGAAGCUGUUGAAUCCUUUUAUGUCCCACUGUGGCUUACACCCUUAUUCCCCCCCUCACCAUCUUGCAUACCUAUCGGCAUGCGACGCCCUUUCUGCUCCACCAAUCCUCUUUUAUGGAGUUAAUUCCUGGGAAAGCAAAAAGAGAAAUGAAAGUAAAUCCAGCAAAUAUAUUUCAGGGACUGAAAGUGA